rnacentral:tmRNA from 1 species
GGGGGCGAAAGGACUCGACGGGGAAUGGAAAGCACGGGUGGCACGCCGAGGUUUCCCGGACCCUCGCAAAACACCGGGACGCUUAAACACAAGCGCCAACGACAACUACGCACUCGCUGCCUGAUUGAACAGGUAGCCGUCCCGGUCGCUCUCGUCCGUGGGGGUGGCCAGGGGCGCAACAUCACACGGACUCGGUCGCGUCUCGCUGGCCCGGCGUGACGCGGCGACAUCAACGGGCUGGCGCCGCGUGAUCCUGCCCUUCGGAGCUCGCGGCGCGAGAAACAAAAGAAGCGGCUAAGCGUGUAGAAGCCCGUCGUGGACCUUCCUCGGACGCGGGUUCGAUUCCCGCCGCCUCCACCA